rnacentral:lncRNA from 1 species
CAUCCUUUUCAUCCUCAAUGGCCAUGAGAUUUAGAUAGGAAAUUAGGGCAUAUGUUUUUUGUUACUGCAGUAAAAUUAGAAUUUGCAUUACCUACAUAUCUCCCUUGAGCGCUAAUUUUUUUUUCAGUUUCUUGAUGUUUCUGGGAAUAUUUUUCAUCCUCAGAAACACUUCAACUAUUGUCCCUCACGCCUGUUAUUUUCUUCUGAUGGCAUUAAGUCAGCCUCCAAAAUCAAAGUACAGCCAUGUGGCAAGUCAAAAAGAAGCCAGAAACAUGUAAAUGGCAGAGGAAUAACAUUUUGGAAGGAAGGCUGCAGGGAUGCAGAGCUGGGGAGUGACAGCUAUGGUGAUUUGGUUUUUCCUAUAAAUGGUUUAAAAAAAUCCUAGAUUAGAUUUUACUAAUGAAACAGAACAGAGUCCUCAGCAAUAAUGCCACAUAUCUACAACUAUCUGAUCUUUGACAAACCUGACAAAAACAAGAAAAUGUUUAUUUUUUCUAUUAUGAAAGUAAUACAUGUUGAUGGUAGAAAAGCUGUAAAAGUUCCACAGUGUUUUGUUCCACAUUACUUGAUAUCAUUUGUGCAAUGAGCUCUCACCCAUCCCUACUGCAACAGACUCUUAGUGUGUUGGUUCUGGAAGGCUUCCAUUUGCCGCAGAACCACAAACCUCAGUUACUUGACUUUCCUAUUGUUUUGCAACUUCUGUGCUAUGUCAUGGGCUGGAUGUCAAUGGGUGGCAUAGUAAGUGGUUCAUUUCAAAUGCCUAUUAAUACCUACUUUUCUUUUUAGGCUGUCUCCAUUCAAUAUUUAUUCUUAAUUGUCUAGCCUUAUAUUGUUUAAUUUUGUUAGAAUCUUAAAGCCUUCUGCAAGUUGGUGAGAUCCACCUGCUGAGUAAAUUCUCAUUUUUCUCUGUUGUUAUCAGCUCCCUGGCUACCUUUCUCUUCUGUAUAGUUCAGUUCACCUUCAUGGGUGUCUUUAACAUGACAUGAAAAUAGGGCCAUUCACUCUGCUGUCUGCAGUAGGCAAGGAGCUUUGAAAGACAAGCACACUAAUGAAAGUAGAAGACAUUGACCCUACUCUCAAAAAAAUGUGAAAGUUAGUUGAGAAGAUUAAACACACACUGUCCCUCCUUCCUCCGCCUACACACAUACCCACACACACACACACACACACACACCCUGACACAAUGGGAAGGCACUUCUGAAGUUUCAGAUGAAUUCCAUUCAACAAGCACCCUCAGAGUUUGUGCUUAUGCCAAGCAUUGUGCCUGGUUUUGGAGAUGUGAAAGUUAACAAAGACAGGUUUCUUACCUUGGAAGGCUACUGUGUAGGUGGGAACACACCUAAAGUUGAUCAUUGUGGCAGUGGACUACUGAAAGUGAUCUGAUGAAGAUGGCUUAGGGUGCUUGUGUAUGAGAGAGGUAUCAGAGAGUCUUUCUUGAGGAAACCACAUCUGGAAAGAGGAGGAGGUGCUAAGCUUGAUUGGAGAGUGGUAUUUCAGGCAGAGGAAAGAGCAUAAAUAAACACACUGAAGAGAUGGGGGAUGGUGGACAACAAGUAUUUAACUAUUGCCUCCACAAGGAGGGUCAGAGAUGGAGCUGGAAGGAAGGAGCUGGAAGGAAGGAGCAGUGGAAUCGUGGAAGGCUUUGGAAAGCAUACUGAAGAUCUGUUGGGUAGUCUAAGGUUUGGUGCGUUGAACAUUGACUUGGGAGCCAGACUGAUUUGGUUUGAUUCUCAGCUAUACCAUCAUUUUUUGCAUGCUUAGGCUAAUUUUUUUAACCUCUCUGCGUCUCCUUUUUUUCAUCUGUAAAAUGGGGACAGUAACAUACACUUUACAGUUGCAACAAUAUAAGUUGCAAGGAUCACAGCAAAUAUAUGUAAAACACCUAACACAUGAGCAGGCAUACAGUGGCUACCCAAUAAAUGGUAGCAAAGUUUUGAAGCAGAUUAGCCUGGUCAGAUAGGAACGGGUGCAGAAAAAUAGAUCAAGGCCGUGGGUGUUAGUGCUAAAGUUAUGAGGUGUUACAGAGUGCUUAGGAAGGCAUUGAUCAGGCCAAUCCUAGGCAACUAUGGGUUGGAGUAGUUAUCUUAGGAACCAAGGGAGGUUCUUUUCUUUUCUGGCAGAGACCCAGUCCUCAACCUGUUCGUGUAUGAACAAGUUCAUAGGAACCAAGGCUCAUACAUGUUAGCUCUACCUCCAGCCCUAAUCCACCUUGCUACUUGUGCUUUUCACUAGAUUGAGUUCAUCAGCACAAGGAGAAUAGGCUGUUCUCUCCCCGCGUUUUCAUAUACCUGUUGUUUGGCAUGUUCUAGGCUCAACCUCUCCAGAAUUGUCCUCUAUGUGUUUGACAGUUAAACUUCUUGUAAAUAGCAUUGAGUUUGCAGCUAGUCACACAAAAUAUACCAAAUGCAGAGAAGGAUGUAUAGAAAAUUGUGAGGCAUUCUCAAGACACCAUUCACAGAAAAUACGAAGAUUGGUACAACUAAAGAAGAAGGAACCCUUGGGGCAGAUUUCAGGAGAGCCUAGGGUGAGCUAGGGAGUGUGAUGGAAUCAGUGGUGGUGGAGGAGGAAGUACAAAUACAAGGCUGUCUCUUUUAUUGCCCAAAUCCUCCUUGUAUUCUUUUCCCUUUCUGCCUUUUUUCCCUUUGCCCCUCCAAGAACACUCAAGCUAAAGGCUUGGCAAGCCCUGUCUGUACUACACAACAGAAGCCU